rnacentral:rRNA from 1 species
GACGAACGCUGGCGGCGUGCCUAAUACAUGCAAGUCGAACGCUUCUUUCCUCCCGAGUGCUUGCACUCAAUUGGAAAGAGGAGUGGCGGACGGGUGAGUAACACGUGGGUAACCUACCCAUCAGAGGGGGAUAACACUUGGAAACAGGUGCUAAUACCGCAUAACAGUUUAUGCCGCAUGGCAUAAGAGUGAAAGGCGCUUUCGGGUGUCGCUGAUGGAUGGACCCGCGGUGCAUUAGCUAGUUGGUGAGGUAACGGCUCACCAAGGCCACGAUGCAUAGCCGACCUGGGAGGGUGAUUGGCCACACUGGGAAUGAGACACGGCUCAGAAUCCUACGGGAGGCAGCAGUAGGGAAUCUUCGGCAAUGGACGAAAGUCUGACCGAGCAACGCCGCGUGAGUGAAGAAGGUUUUCGGAUCGUAAAACUCUGUUGUUAGAGAAGAACAAGGACGUUAGUAACUGAACGUCCCCUGACGGUAUCUAACCAGAAAGCCACGGCUAACUACGUG